rnacentral:rRNA from 1 species
GAUGAACGCUGGCGGCGUGCCUAAUACAUGCAAGUCGAGCGAACAGAGGAGUAUCUCACUCCUGUUACGGUAGCGGGGCAAGCGUGUGUAACACGCGUACAACCCACCUAUAAAACUGGGAUAACUCCGGGAAACCGGAGCUAAUAUCGGACAAUAUAUUGAACCGCAUGGUUCAUUAGUUAAUGACGCUCUGGCUGUCCGGUAUAGACGUAUGCGCGCCUCAUUAGCUAGUUGGUAUGGUAACGGACUACCAAGGCAACGAUGCGUAGCUGACCUGAGAGGGUGAUCGGCCACUCAGGAGCUGAGACACGGUCCAGACCCAUACGGGAGGCAGGAGUAGGUAAGCUUCCGCAAUGGGCGAAAGCCAGACGGACCAACGCAGGGCGAGUGAUGAAGGUAUGCGGUUCGUAAAACUAUCUUAUUAGGGAAGAAAAAAUGUGUAAGUAACCAUGCGCGUUUGACGGGAACCUAGUAAGAAGGCCACGGUGACUUCCGG